CAGCCGCCACGGGAAUACGAAGGGGACUAGCGUUGCUCGGAAUCACUGGGCGUAAAGGGUGCGUAGGCGGGUCUUUAAGUCAGGGGUGAAAUCCUGGAGCUCAACUCCAGAACUGCCUUUGAUACUGAAGAUCUUGAGUUCGGGAGAGGUGAGUGGAACUGCGAGUGUAGAGGUGAAAUUCGUAGAUAUUCGCAAGAACACCAGUGGCGAAGGCGGCUCACUGGCCCGAUACCGACGCUGAGGCACGAAAGCGUGGGGAGCAAACAGGAUUAGAUACCCCCGUAGUCCCUGUCUCUUAUAC
rnacentral:rRNA from 1 species